rnacentral:rRNA from 1 species
CCUACGGGAGGCAGCAGUGAGGAAUAUUGGUCAAUGGGCGAGAGCCUGAACCAGCCAAGUCGCGUGAGGGAGUACUGCCCUAUGGGUUGUAAACCUCUUUUGUCGGGGAGCAAAAGCCGGACGUGUCCGGCUGUGAGAGUACCCGAAGAAAAAGCAUCGGCUAACUCCGUGCCAGCAGCCGCGGUAAUACGGAGGAUGCGAGCGUUAUCCGGAUUUAUUGGGGUUAAAGGGUGAGCAGGCGGAUUUUUAAGUUAGCGGUCAAAUCGUGGGGCUCAACCCCAUCCAGCCGUUGAAACUGGGGAUCUAGAGGGUGCGAGAGGUAUGCGGAAGGCGUGGUGUAGCGGUGAAAUGCAUAGAUAUCACGCAGAACCCCGAUUGCGAAGGCAGCAUACCGGUGCACAACUGACGCUAGGCACGAAAGCGUGGGUAUCGAACAGGAUUAGAUACCCGUGUAGUC